rnacentral:rRNA from 1 species
GACAUAGGUGGCAAACGUUAUCCGGAAUUAUUGGGCGUAAAGAGCGCGCAGGCGGUCGUUCAAGUCGAGUGUGAAAGCCCCCGGCUCAACUGGGGAGGGUCACUCGAUACUGAUCGACUUGAAGGCAGGAGAGGGAAGCGGAAUUCCCGGUGUAGUGGUGAAAUGCGUAGAUAUCAGGAGGAACACCAGUGGCGAAGGCGGUGGUCUGGGCCGGAACUGACGCUGAGGAGCGAAAGCGUGGGUAGCAAACAGG